rnacentral:misc_RNA from 1 species
AAAUAAAAAAUUUUAAAAAUCGAAUCAAACUGAUUAUUAAGAGAAAACCGAACCAAAUCGAUCUAAACCAAACUAAUAAAUAUCAGUUGGGUUCUGUUUUAAAUCAAUCAAAUCGAAUUUUAUAAAAUUUCAUAUUUUCAAUAUUAAAUAUCAAUAACAAAAAUAUUUAAAAAAAAACUUAGAAAUUAAAACUAAAAAACUUAGGGUUUCUUUAAUAUAUAUAUUAGUAAUUUAAUUUCGGUUCGAAUUUUUUUUAUUUUUUAUGAAAAU